AGCCUGGGCAAGCCUGCGUGGCAAGCUGGAAAAGUACCUGUUCUUCUUGCUGCUGUUGGACCAGUUAAUGCUAGCAUCCUUGCCAAGCUGUGAGCAUGGGCAUAGAUCAACCACCCUGGCAGCUGCCGGUGGUGGCCUCGCUCUUGUCAGCAAUGGGAUGAGAGAGUGUGGAGAAGUGAAUCGUUUAGUGCAUAGGUUCAACAACUUCUGCCCUGAUCAUAUGGCCCUGGGCACACAGGAGGAGCUUCAAUGAAGGCUGCAGGAGCAAAGCUGCGUUUUGGCAUUUCCAAGCUUUUGAAAGCAUAACUCCACAUUAGUCUGAGUGUAAUUCCUGAUCUUUUAUGGCUACUGCUCUCACGGAUGGUGCGCCGCUCUGACCUCUUUUAGGUAUUGAAAGGCAGUAAUGAAGUGUCCCUGGAGUCUCCUCUGAAGUCAACAGUGCCAAAUCUCUCAGCCUUUCCUCAUAGGACAAGUGCUCCAGCCCUCCAAUCAUCUUCAUGGCUCUCAUCUGGACCUGCUCUAACAAGUCCAUGUCUUUCAUGUGCUGAGGACUCCAGUGCUGGAUGCAGCACUCCAGAUGCAGGUGGGGUCUCAUAUCGGGCAGUUAAUAAAUCUGAUGCCCAUAAAUAAUGUAGAUUUUUUUUUUUUUUUUUUGGUCUUUGCUUGGUGCUAAGAGCAAAGUGGCCCAGUAGCUGGAAAGUUAUUUAAAGAAAUUCAUAAUGCAUGUGUUUGUCCAGCAAGCAUCUGUCCUUUGGAUGGAAGGAUAUAGGUCUGAUCCUGUUUUCUUUUUUUUACUAUGUAUUAAUCUAGGAGAUCUAAUGCCCAACAUCCCCAAGUGUAAACUUUUUUUCUCCCAGCUUUUUUGAUUUAUUUAUUUGAAGACAGCACUACUCUGUGCAGCUUGCUUUCUCAUUCUCCAACAGACUGUCUUGAAAAUCGCAGCAGACAAGGAGCACUGCAGUUCCCAUGGGAAAGGAUGUCUGCCUGCUUUGAGGUGGUGAUCAUGGGCAGUUCCCAUUACUGGAUGACACGCAGGAAUUAAUUUCUGUCCUCAGGCCUUGGUACUACCUUAGCUAGAAUCCAUCCCACAGACUGGUCCUAUACCCUGGAACAGACUUGUGAAGAAGGUGGAUGAUCAGAGGGUGUCUGAUAAAUAAUUGCUCAGGCCAAUAGCACUUCUGCCUUGGCUAUUAAGGGCACCCAUGGUAUGAUUCCUCAAAGCUGUGUUUGUCUCUGCCUGAUUCAAAAGUGGAGCUCCUUAUUAUUAUUUAUUGCUGGUAGCAAAUGGCAGUGAAAAAAAUCCAAAGUGAUUGCACUAGAGGAGAAGACUGAAAGGACAAAAACACUUAGAGAAAGUGGAAAAGGUACAGAAAAUUAAUGAACUGAAUGAACCAGAAUGAGUGGUGCUGGUUUUAUUACCUGUCCUUCCCUGUUGGGUCAGGACUGAGUAAAUUAUGCCAAGUAGAAUCUUGCAGAAUUUUGCAAUAAAUUGCCUGAACUCAUCCAUUCUCACCGCUUUGUGAGGAAGGGAGGCUGCUUCAUAGGCUGUGGCUACUGCUCUUGGAGUACCUUGUAAUUUAGGGCAUACUUCCUGAAAACAGAACUCAUCUUUCAGGGAUCUCCUGAGUCACUAGGAAAAUUCAGGAACUGGUCAACUCCAAAGCUUUUGAUGGUGGAGAUGGAAGGCUCAAUGACUGCAUUUCACCUCUUUCUGUGAGUGAAGCAGGAGUGAAAUAGCAGAGCACUGAGCAAAGAUACUUUUGUUAUCCUGUGUCUUGCUUUCUCUUCACAGUUUGUUUCAGGUUUUUCUUUCUUUUUAAGAAGUGUCCUUUCUAAUCCCUCCCUGCUCCUUGCCCCAGGCUGUAGCCCUUAAAGCAACUGGGAUGCAAUAGCAGAGCAGCAAUACUGGUUUGUUUGCCUACAUCUCACUUAUGAAAAAUACUUGUUUUCUGUUGAACCAUACCCUUUGUCCUGACACAGCUGCUCUGACCACACUCUCCUUGCAAGCGAACACCGUCAUUACUCACUGGGCAUCUCCAGCCAUGAUUUUAUUCAGAAAACCUGAAGAUGUGCUGUGAACCCCAAAUCCCAUAUCUGUAUCCCUCAGAGCUGUUUGUAGCGACAAAUGUGUUCUGAAACAAAAGAUGUUCUCUUGUGUAUGUAGUAAAAAAUGAGCUUUGCUGUGCAUAAGUUACUCAACAGUCAGGUUUAUGGCUGUUUCUUUUCCAAGACACCCAACAUUUUUUUUUUACACUUAGUUUUCU